CCCGCGGUAAUACGGAGGGGGUUAGCGUUGUUCGGAAUUACUGGGCGUAAAGCGCGCGUAGGCGGAUUAGAAAGUUGGGGGUGAAAUCCCGGGGCUCAACCUCGGAACUGCCUCCAAAACUGCUAGUCUAGAGUUCGAGAGAGGUGAGUGGAAUUCCGAGUGUAGAGGUGAAAUUCGUAGAUAUUCGGAGGAACACCAGUGGCGAAGGCGGCUCACUGGCUCGAUACUGACGCUGAGGUGCGAAAGUGUGGGGAGCAAACAGGAUUAGAUACCCUGGUAGUCCACACCGUAAACGAUGAAUGCCAGUCGUCGGGUAGUAUACUAUUCGGUGACACACCUAACGGAUUAAGCAUUCCGCCUGGGGAGUACGGUCGCAAGAUUAAAACUCAAAGGA
rnacentral:rRNA from 1 species